rnacentral:rRNA from 1 species
CAGUAGCCGCGGUAAUACGUAGGUCCCGAGCGUUGUCCGGAUUUAUUGGGCGUAAAGCGAGCGCAGGCGGUUAGAUAAGUCUGAAGUUAAAGGCUGUGGCUUAACCAUAGUACGCUUUGGAAACUGUUUAACUUGAGUGCAAGAGGGGAGAGUGGAAUUCCAUGUGUAGCGGUGAAAUGCGUAGAUAUAUGGAGGAACACCGGUGGCGAAAGCGGCUCUCUGGCUUGUAACUGACGCUGAGGCUCGAAAGCGUGGGGAGCAAACAGGAUUAGAUACCCGCGUAGUCCCUGUCUCUUAUACA